rnacentral:rRNA from 1 species
GACGAACGCUGGCGGCGUGCCUAAUACAUGCAAGUAGAACGCUGAAGGAGGAGCUUGCUUCUCUGGAUGAGUUGCGAACGGGUGAGUAACGCGUAGGUAACCUGCCUGGUAGCGGGGGAUAACUAUUGGAAACGAUAGCUAAUACCGCAUAAUAGCAGUUGUUGCAUGACAACUGUUUGAAAGGUGCAAUUGCACCACUACCAGAUGGACCUGCGUUGUAUUAGCUAGUUGGUGGGGUAACGGCUCACCAAGGCGACGAUACAUAGCCGACCUGAGAGGGUGAUCGGCCACACUGGGACUGAGACACGGCCCAGACUCCUACGGGAGGCAGCAGUAGGGAAUCUUCGGCAAUGGACGGAAGUCUGACCGAGCAACGCCGCGUGAGUGAAGAAGGUUUUCGGAUCGUAAAGCUCUGUUGUAAGAGAAGAACGAGUGUGAGAGUGGAAAGUUCACACUGUGACGGUAUCUGACCAGAAAGGGACGGCUAACUACGUG